rnacentral:rRNA from 1 species
UACAGAGACUGCAAGCGUUAUUCGGAUUCACUGGGCGUAAAGGGUGCGCAGGCGGCCGAGUGUGUGAGGCGUGAAAGCCCGGGGCUUAACCCCGGAAUUGCACCUCAAACUACACGGCUAGAGCAUUGGAGAGGGUAGCAGAAUUCAUGGUGUAGCAGUGAAAUGCGUAGAUAUCAUGAGGAAUACCAGAGGCGAAGGCGGCUACCUGGACAAUUGCUGACGCUCAGGCACGAAAGCGUGGGGAGCAAAAGGGAUGAGAUA